UCGAGGCUAAGCAUUCACUCCUCCUCUCUUUCUUUUUCUUCAACCAAGUUGACUGACAGGGUAGUCUCAUCCUCAUCUAUGCAGACAUGACUUACAUUUUGCGAAGUUUCUCUACAAUUGGAUAUCUGAUAUUGAAAUUAUACUUCCAACAAUAUGCUGAAUAGAAGUAGCAAAGAGCCAUUAUGGGACCCAGGAGAAAGAACACCAAAGGAGAAGUUUUAAAAGGAAAGAAAAGAAAUGGAGGAGGGAUGAGAAAGAGGGGGGAGAAAGGAGCAGACACCCUCAGCUCCAGCGGAAGCAAUGCCAAGAAGCAACUAACCAAAACCAGACAGCAGUGAGGAAAGAAUAAAAUGGCUUGGACUCAGGCUGACGAAUGCACAAGAGAAAAAUUCACAUGGCUUCAGAGAAGGGCUUGGCAUCUGGCUCAGAAAUUCAUGUGGAUGUAUGCACGUAGUUUUUAUUUCUGGAACCAUGUUUUGCAACUUCUUCCUGAAAAAGAUGUGUUAUUUUCCUUCAUUAAAAUAAUGGAAAGACCACCCCCAAUCUCCUCAACCCACCUCCCCCAACACGAAAGUUUUUUUUUUUUUAAAUACUUUCUUCUAGAUCACUUCCUAGAUUUUCUAAGCCAAAUAAAAUACUAAAACUCCAAA